rnacentral:lncRNA from 1 species
GGUCAACUGAAAGGCCCAUCAAAGCAGGCAUUGCUAUAGUAUGAAAUACCUCUGCCACAUAACUUUCUGCAUUGUGACCUCACAUAGAAUGAUCAGCAAAGUCAUUAUUUAAGAAAAGAGGGAAGCCUCUACUAAUGACAGCCUUGAUAGCUCAGAACAAGCUGAAUAUAAGGGAGAGUAGAAAAAUCAAACAAAAUGUUUUAAAGAAACCUGCUUGAAGAAACCUGCUUGAAGGCAAUCAAACCUAUCAGGUCAAUAAAAAAUGUAUGGUGCUGGAAGCCAGGAGGAAAGGCAGUCUAUAAUCAUCAGCCUCUUACUGGAGUCCACAGUCUGCCAAGAAUAGAAUUCAAAAGAAUUUCUUGGACCAGCAUGAGGGGAGAAUGAGUCAUAUCUGAUCUCUUUGUGGAACUCUCCGAAGAUUAGCACCAUUGUCGGUGACUCCAGGUGGCUAUAUCCAAAACUGA